GAUGGCGCAGCGUAGUGGUUUGGGCGUCGGACUGCAUUUCUGGAGACCUGGGUUCGAUUCCCAGCUCGGCCA